rnacentral:lncRNA from 1 species
GCGAGAUUGCCGCCGCCGUUCGUCCUCCUCAGAACAGUGGCCACCAUCUGUUUGACGAAAUGAUCCAGGCACAAGGAAAACAAGUUGGGGGUUGAAAUUUUUUGGGGAGGUCUCUCUUUGACUCUAGAAGCCGCGUGCAAUUUAUCAGGAUUUUUUAAAAUUGUUGAGGUGGGUUUUUAACAAAAACAGGAAAUCUGGUCCAAA